rnacentral:rRNA from 1 species
UACGUAGGGGGCAAGCGUUGUCCGGAUUUAUUUGGGCGUAAAGAGCGUGUAGGCGGCCAGGUAGGUCCGUUGUGAAAACUGGAGGCUCAACCUCCAGCGGUCGAUGGAAACCAUCUGGCUAGAGUCCGGAAGAGGAGAGUGGAAUUCCUGGUGUAGCGGUGAAAUUCGUAGAUAUUCGGAAGAACACCAGUGGCGAAGGCGGCUCAUCUGGCCCGGUACUGACGCUGAGGUGCGAAAGCGU